rnacentral:rRNA from 1 species
GACGAACGCUGGCGGCGUGCUUAACACAUGCAAGUCGAACGGAAAGGCCCUGCUUUUGUGGGGUGCUCGAGUGGCGAACGGGUGAGUAACACGUGAGUAACCUGCCCUUGACUUUGGGAUAACUUCAGGAAACUGGGGCUAAUACCGGAUAGGAGCUCCUGCUGCAUGGUGGGGGUUGGAAAGUUUCGGCGGUUGGGGAUGGACUCGCGGCUUAUCAGCUUGUUGGUGGGGUAGUGGCUUACCAAGGCUUUGACGGGUAGCCGGCCUGAGAGGGUGACCGGCCACAUUGGGACUGAGAUACGGCCCAGACUCCUACGGGAGGCAGCAGUGGGGAAUAUUGCACAAUGGGCGGAAGCCUGAUGCAGCAACGCCGCGUGCAGGAUGACGGCCUUCGGGUUGUAAACCGCUUUCGCCUGUGACGAAGCGUGAGUGACGGUAAUGGGUAAAGAAGCACCGGCGAACUACGU